GGUGGGGGCGCUGCCUGUGAGUCUGGGUCACGAAAGCAGCACGGAACAGGGUGAGAACAUUGCCAGUCAUUGUGGUUAAUUAAUGCCAAUUGACAGAGAUUACUGGAGAAGGCAGUGCGAUAACUGGCGGACAAGAAGCGUCCGCCUCGACCUCUCGCCGAGAGGAGACCGAACUGCAGGUAUUGCAGGAUUGGACGGACCAGGGCAUUGUAGUGUUUAUGGUUGGCUGUUCUGGUCCUCCACUGAAUCACGCCUGUCUCACAACCCCAUACCUCUCUCUCUCUCUCCGUCUCUCUCUCUCUCUCUCUUCGUCUCUCUCUGCCUCUCUCUCUCUCUCUCUGUCUCUCUGUCUCUCUCUCUCUCUGCCCCUCUCUCUCUCUCUCUCUGUUGGCUUGGUAUUCAGGGUCUUCCUUUCUAUUUAUUGCAUGUUUUCCAUACUUUCUAUUGGGUGUAUAUCCCAUUUAGUGCUGUUUGAGUUCAAGCCACCCUUCUGUGUAGUGUAGUGUAGUGUAGUCGACAGGACAAUACUCCACAUUCGUAAGCACACUUUCAAAGAUUCUGAGUAAGUACAUAAUGACGUCUGUCCUGCUCUCCGGACGCAGUGAGGUCGGAGCUCCAGAGACAGGGGAUUGUCCCAGAAUUCCUCCCCUGGUCCCACCUCUUUCCCUCUGUCCACCACGCUGUCCAGCGGUAUCGAAGACGGCUUCUCUCUGACUCAAGCAGAGAGCUCAGUGAUUUAACCCGACCUCUGGCAUCACGCUUGACCCUUGACCUCUGACCUCAGAGAAAAUGAAAAUGAACCAGCACUGUUGGAAGGCACAAUUCUCUUCUGCGCUGACGACAUCCCUUGGAAGUGAAAACAGCAUUAAUUGGAUCUAUUAAACGCUUCAAAUUAUUCUUUACAAUGGAACAUUGCUUUCAUCUUUUUGUUUCUGAGAGCUAUUUUUGUGUUUUGUGUGAGUGCAUUUUCCAUUCGGUUUAAAUGAUCGAGUAGGUUUCACUAAAUGUUUUUUUUUCCCCACAAUGAAUAAAAUUAAAAUAUAAUUA